UACGGAGGGUGCGAGCGUUGUUCGGAAUUAUUGGGCGUAAAGGGCGCGUAGGCGGUGCGGUAAGUCACCUGUGAAAUCUCCUGGCUCAACUGGGAGCUUGCAGGCGAAACUGCCGUGCUGGAGUGUGGGAGAGGUGCGUGGAAUUCCUGGUGUAGCGGUGAAAUGCGUAGAUAUCAGGAGGAACACCUGUGGCGAAAGCGGCGCACUGGACCACAACUGACGCUGAGGCGCGAAAGCUAGGGGAGCAAACGGG
rnacentral:rRNA from 1 species